rnacentral:rRNA from 1 species
UAGGGAAUCUUCNNGCAAUGGACGGAAGUCUGACCGAGCAACGCCGCGUGAGUGAAGAAGGUUUUCGGAUCGUAAAGCUCUGUUGUAAGAGAAGAACGAGUGUGAGAGUGGAAAGUUCACACUGUGACGGUAUCUUACCAGAAAGGGACGGCUAACUACGUGCCAGCAGCCGCGGUAAUACGUAGGUCCCGAGCGUUGUCCGGAUUUAUUGGGCGUAAAGCGAGCGCAGGCGGUUAGAUAAGUCUGAAGUUAAAGGCUGUGGCUUAACCAUAGUACGCUUUGGAAACUGUUUAACUUGAGUGCAAGAGGGGAGAGUGGAAUUCCAUGUGUAGCGGUGAAAUGCGUAGAUAUAUGGAGGAACACCGGUGGCGAAAGCGGCUCUCUGGCUUGUAACUGACGCUGAGGCUCGAAAGCGUGGGGAGCAAACAGGAUUAGAUACCCUGGUAGUCCACGCCGUAAACGAUGAGUGCUAGGUGUUAGACCCUUUUCGGGGUUUAGUGCCGCAGCUAACGCACUAAGCACUCCGCCUGGGGAGUACGACCGCAAGGUU